rnacentral:rRNA from 1 species
GGCUUAGAAGCAGCCACUCAUUUAAAGAGUGCGUAAUAGCUCACUGGUCGAGUGAUCCUGCGCCGAAAAUUUCCGGGGCUAAAACGUACUACCGAAGCUACGGCAUCAUUUAUGAUGGGUAGGGGAGCUUCGUAUGCAGGCUGAAGCAUGACCGUAAGGACAUGUGGACAGUAUACGAGUGAGAAUGUUGGCAUGAGUAGCGAGACGUGGGUGAGAAUCCCACGGGCCGUAAACCCAAGGUUUCCAGGGGAAGGUUCGUCCGCCCUGGGUUAGUCGGGACCUAAGCCGAGGCCGAAAGGCGUAGGUGAUGGACAACAGGUUGAUAUUCCUGUACCGCCAAUAAGCGUUUGAGAGAUGGAGUGACACAGUAGGAUAAGCUAACCGUACUGUUGGUUAUGUACGGCUAAGCAUUGAGGCAGUCUAAAUAGGCAAAUCCGUUUAGACAAUGCUAGGAUGUGAUGGGGAAGCCCUUCGGGGCGAAGUAGCUGAUUUCACACUGUCAAGAAAAGCUUCUAUCGAGUUUAAAGGCGCCCGUACCGUAAACCGACACAGGUGGGUGAGGAGAGUAUCCUAAGGCCAGCGAGAGAACUAUUGUUAAGGAACUCGGCAAAAUGACCCCGUAACUUAGGGAGAAGGGGUGCCUGUCUAUGACAGGCCGCAGAGAAUAGGCCCAAGCGACUGUUUACCAAAAACACAGGUUUCUGCUAAGUCGCAAGACGAUGUAUAGGAGCUGACGCCUGCCCGGUGCUGGAAGGUUAAGGGGAUCUGUUAGAGCAAUCGAAGCAGUGAACUUAAGCCCCAGUAAACGGCGGCCGUAACUAUAACGGUCCUAAGGUAGCGAAAUUCCUUGUCGGGUAAGUUCCGACCCGCACGAAAGGCGUAACGAUUUGGGCACUGUCUCAACAAUAGACUCGGUGAAAUUGUAAUCCCGGUGAAGAUGCCGGGUACCUGCGACAGGACGGAAAGACCCCAUGGAGCUUUACUGUAGCUUGACGUUGGGUCUUGGUACUACAUGUACAGGAUAGGUGGGAGACUAUGAAGCAUGGACGCCAGUCUGUGUGGAGUCAUCCUUGGGAUACCACCCUUGUAGUACUGGGAUCCUAACCAUAGGCCUUGAAUCAGGUCUUGGAACACCGUCAGGUGGGCAGUUUGACUGGGGCGGUCGCCUCCUAAAAAGUAACGGAGGCGCUCAAAGGUUUCCUCAGCACGGUCGGAAAUCGUGCGAAGAGUGUAAAGGCAAAAGGAAGCUUGAUUGCAAGACAUACAGGUCGAGCAAGGACGAAAGUCGGACUUAGUGAUCCGGUGGUACCGCAUGGAAGGGCCAUCGCUCAACGGAUAAAAGCUACCCUGGGGAUAACAGGCUUAUCUCCCCCAAGAGUCCACAUCGACGGGGAGGUUUGGCACCUCGAUGUCGGCUCAUCACAUCCUGGGGCUGUAGUAGGUCCCAAGGGUUGGGCUGUUCGCCCAUUAAAGUGGUACGCGAGCUGGGUUCAGAACGUCGUGAGACAGUUCGGUCCCUAUCCGUCGCAGGCGUAGGAAAUUUGAGAAGACCUGUCCUUAGUACGAGAGGACCGGGAUGGACGUACCUCUGGUGUACCAGUUGUUCUGCCAAGGGCAUGGCUGGGUAGCUAUGUACGGAAUGGAUAAGCGCUGAAAGCAUCUAAGCGCGAAGCCAACUUCAAGAUAAGAUUUCCCACCGUAAGGGUAAGACCCCAGGAAGACUACCUGGUUGA